GACGAACGCUGGCGGCGUGCUUAACACAUGCAAGUCGAACGCAGAGGCCCUGCUUUGGUUGGGUGCUCGAGUGGCGAACGGGUGAGUAACACGUAAGUAACCUGCCCGUUACUGUGGGAUAACUACUGGAAACGGGGGCUAAUACCGCAUAGCAGCUCCUGCUGCAUGGUGGGGGCUGGAAAGUUUCGGUGGUUGGCGAUGGAGUUGGAGCUUAGCAGCUUUUUGGUGGGGUAGUGGGUAAGCAAGACUUUGGCGGGUAGCCGACCGGGGAGGGUGACCGGCCAAAUUGGGACUGAGAGACGGCCCAGACGCAUCCGGGAGGAAGGAGUGGAGAAUAAUGGACAAUGGGCGGAAGCGUGAUGAAGCAACGCGGCGUGCAGGAUGACGGCGUUAGGGUAGUAAGCGGCUUUGGCUUGUGACGACGCGUGGGUGAGGGUAAUGAGUAAAGAAGCACCGGCUAACUACGU
rnacentral:rRNA from 1 species